AGUCCGUGUGGUGCUGCGCCCCUAGGGGCCAACCCGCCAAUCCCGCACUAAUGGAUCCCGGGGACUAAAAUAACCUCAGCAGUGUGUGUGUAUGUGUGUGAUCUCAGUGCUAUGUCUCCGUCCUGGGUGAGCUCUAAUAAUAGAGGAGGCCGCCUGCUCCUUUAAGAGCCUACUUGUUGCACAGGCUACUCUACGAAAUAUAUUGUAACAAAAUGGUUAUCAAAGUAUUUCUCGCCACUUCAUCGGGAUCCACUGCGAUCAAGAAGAAGCAGCAAGAUGUGGUCGGCUUCCUGGAGGCUCUUAAGGUGGAUUACGCUCAGCUGGACAUCGCCUGCAAUGAGGAGAACCGCAUGUGGAUGAGGCAGAAUGUCCCUGAGGAGAAGAAGCCCGCCAACGGCAUCCCCCUGCCCCCACAGAUCUUCAAUGAAGAAGGCUACUGUGGGGACUAUGAGACAUUCUUCGAUGCCAAAGAGGACAACGCUGUGUAUGCCUUCCUAGGGCUGCCUCCACCUCCUGGGUCAAAGGAAGCAGAACAGGCCGACAAGGCGCUCAUAGUGGAGAACGGGACCCAUGCUGAGGAAACUACUGCAGAAGAGAACCCAGAUGAUUCAACAGUAAUGUCGUCGAUACUUUCAUUUCCACUCAUGUUUUGUUUCCCUUCACCCUCUCACCUUUUCCUUUCCAUCCAGUGUGACUUCUGUCCAUACCUGUCGACUUGAACAGACCCUUAAUUUCCUCUCCUCCUCUCGUUCCCAGUCAUCACAUUGACUAAUCUUUUUGUGUUUUGCAUGAGUGAGAACUUUUAGUUCACACUAACACAAUACACUGAGUUGUCAUUAUAACACUGUGACAUUGCAUCACUGUGUUCGGACUGCCACAGAGGUGUGAAGCAUCAUGUUCCAACAAUCCUGUGUACACUUAGCUCUUUACAAAGCUGAGUAUGUUUGAUUUGAUAUGAAACAUUGAUGUUUUGUUUCAAUGCAUACUUCUUGAUUUCAGUGACUUUCUAAUACAUUUCAGUUUGAUCACAUUACAGAUUAGACCCUCUUUGGUCCAUUCACUUUGUACAUUAAAAUCUUGAAAAUUAUGCAUUCCAGAUUCUAAUAAUAUUUAGGUAAUGUUAGUACAGGAUAUGAGCAAACAUUCAUCAUAAACCAGAUUUUACUCCACUUACUUUCUGCUUUGGGAUUUAAAGUAACUAAAGAUUUUCUGGAUUAUAUGGUUAGCUAAAGAUGAUAGAGAUAGAUACUUUAUUCAUCCCUGAAGGGAAAUUAGAUCGUCAUAGCAGUCCAGUAUUUGAAUACAAUAAAAAAUGGAAUAAAAUACUGAGGUAGAAAAAACAAAUAACAGAAAUAACAAUAGGACAAGGACACUUAAAAAAAACACAAGAUAAAUAAAUAGGUAAAUAAGGUGCAGUGGCAAGAUAGCAGUAAUGAUACUGACGAUAUGAUGGUAGUGUUAUUGUUAUUAAACAGUAUAAACAGUAUACAAUAAUAAUAAUAAUAAUAAUAAUAAUAGUAAUAACAGUAAUAUCAGCAUAGUAACAGCAUAUAGUAAUAAUAAUAGUGAUAGCAACAGUAUAUAAUAAUAAUAAUAAUAAUAAUAAUAAUAUACACAUAGAAAUGUGUCAUAUAUUUAGCCUGUGCAAGCUCUGUGACUUCCUUUGACUGUCCCACAGCGUAUAAUGCAGUUCUGCAAACUGAGUUUAUUUAAGGUGCAUCUUCUGUUGCACCCUGUGCGUUUUCCUGCACAACAUUUUUGGCAAAAAAACGCGUAUUUUCUGAGUAAGAUGAAAAAUGAUAUGCCACUCUCAUGUCUGUAAUGUAAAUAUGAAGCUUCAUCCAGUGGCCCGAGAGCUUAGCUUAGCACAAAGACUGGAAAACAGAUAACAAAAUUCACUUACCAGCAUCCCUAAAGCUCUACCUUAACCUAUUAUACCUCAUUGAUUUUAAUCUGCAAUAGCCUUGCACAUACAAAAAAGUGUUGAACUAUUUCUUCUUGACUGAUUCCCACAUGCUGCAAACAGCCUUUCUCAAAUCCAUGAUGCAUCAUUCCAAACCUUUGAUUUUUGUAGAGGAAGUACUGACGCAUCUCCACCCUUUAACUGCUCCUUCUUCCCCUCCUCCACUUCAUUCACAGGUUUGAC